UCCAGCUUAUCGCUGGCGGUCUCCUGCGAGUUCCCAACUGAAUGAUGGUAACACAGGACAAGGGUUGCGCUCGUUGCGGGACUUAACCCAACAUCUCACGACACGAGCUGACGACAGCCAUGCAGCACCUCGACUCCCGUCCCUUGCGGGAAAACCGUGUUUCCACAGCUUUUCGUGAGCCGUUCGAGCCCAGGUAAGGUUCUUCGCGUUGCGUCGAAUUGAACCACAUGCUCCACCGCUUGUGCGGGCCCCCGUCAAUUCCUUUGAGUUUCAGCCUUGCGACUGUACUCCCCAGGCGGCAUAUUUAACGCGUUAGCUCCGGCACAGAUCAACUGAAUGACCUACACCAAAUAUGCAUCGUUUAGGGCGUGGACUAC
rnacentral:misc_RNA from 1 species